rnacentral:rRNA from 1 species
CCUACGGGCGGCAGCAGUGGGGAAUAUUGGACAAUGGGGGGAACCCUGAUCCAGCCAUGCCGCGUGUGUGAAGAAGGCCCUCGGGUUGUAAAGCACUUUCAGUGAGGAAGAACGCCUGGUGGUUAAUACCCAUCAGGAAAGACAUCACUCACAGAAGAAGCACCGGCUAACUCCGUGCCAGCAGCCGCGGUAAUACGGAGGGUGCGAGCGUUAAUCGGAAUUACUGGGCGUAAAGCGCGCGUAGGUGGCUUGAUAAGCCGGUUGUGAAAGCCCCGGGCUCAACCUGGGAACGGCAUCCGGAACUGUCAAGUUAGAGUGCAGGAGAGGAAGGUAGAAUUCCCGGUGUAGCGGUGAAAUGCGUAGAGAUCGGGAGGAAUACCAGUGGCGAAGGCGGCCUUCUGGACUGACACUGACACCGAGGUGCGAAAGCGUGGGUAGCAAACAGGAUUAGAUACCCGUGUAGUC